rnacentral:rRNA from 1 species
UACAGAGGAUGCAAGCGUUAUCCGGAAUGAUUGGGCGUAAAGCGUCUGUAGGUGGCUUUUUAAGUCCGCCGUCAAAUCCCAGGGCUCAACUCUGGACAGGCGGUGGAAACUACCAAGCUGGAGUACGGUAGGGGCAGAGGGAAUUUCCGGUGGAGCGGUGAAAUGCGUAGAGAUCGGAAAGAACACCAACGGCGAAGGCAGCUUGCUGGGACGGUACUGACGCUGAGACGCGAAAGCGUGGGGAGCAAACAGG